UGCCCAGCAAGCCCCGCCGGGGCAGCGCCCUCAGCACGGCCGAAGCGCUCCCCCGGCACCGCGCCCGCCGGCCCGGCGGAGCCGCCACACCCGCCGGGCCGCCUCGGGGCAGCCCCAGAGCCGCCGCCGGGCAGAGCGGGGGCAGUGGGCAGCCCCCAGCACCGUGCACACACACACACUCCUCCAGAAGGAUACUGAAAACGGUGCGUUCCCAGGGCUCCAGCAUGUAGAGCGCGGUGACCAGCAGGUACUGGUAGUACAGCCACGACAUCUGCUUCAGCGCCGACACCAGCGCCAUGGCGCUCCCCGCCGCCAGCGGCACCGCGCCGGGCCCAGGCCGAGCGCAGCCGGGGCGGUGCAGCCGGGACAGCCCUCCCCCGGCCCCGCCCCGCGCCCGCCGACACGGAGAGGCCGCGGCCUGUGGGGCCCGCACGGGGCGGUACCGGCGCUCCCACGCCCCAGCGGAACGUCUGGGGCACCCCCGGCACGCCGGUACCUCGGCCCUCCCCGAGGAAUGCCCACAUCGGGCCCAGUAUCAUUACAUUACGCGGCUGGCCCUGAACCUGGUAACCUGCCAGCCCGAGUCACACCUCCUGUUCACAUUUGAUCUGGGAAUCGCGGCAGACCCGAAGCCGGUGCUCGGCAGGGCCCACGGGAGGCACGUUAAAAAUGCUCUGCACAGGCCUUCUGUUUCGUUGUCAGAGGGUAAAGCCCACCCAAAAACAUGGCUCGGAUAAAUGCGACCUUAAGAUCGGCCAACUGUGAUGACAUUGAUCCGUAUGAAUAGAAAAAAGAAAGAGGUUUUCAACGAUCAACUGUUUACUGUGACUGUUGCUAACUUUUCACUUCCCUAAGGCACUUGGAGCCAGAAACCAGAGGGUGUGGAACACCCCUGCCCUGACUGCUAAUUUGCCUAAGAUUAAUAAGAAAUUCCCAGAGAGCAGUUUGGGACUACAUGAUUAGGAAGGCUCUUGGCAGUUUAUACUGCCACUCUAGAAGGCACGAGUUGAAAGCCAGCUGGAAAGCGAUGUACACAAUCAUCAGGCACCUUAACUAAGCAGAGCAUGCAUUGCAACCACCAGGCAGCAGGUCCAGAUCACCAGCCAGGACCUCAUUUGCCAAGUGUGCACACCGUAGCCGCCGAUUAGAUACUGAAGUCGACCCACUAUACUCACUCUGCUUGGUAAAUCAAUUUGCAGUUAUGUCACUGAGCAGUAAUUCUGUUCCUGCAGCCACCCCACUGUGCUGUUUGUACAAUGAAAAACAAGGAAAUACAACCACAGGAGGAUGCACAUAUGAGUUAUUUACAGAGCUGCAAAAUAAAACUACAGGACCAGGAGAUUACUGUGAAAAAGAAGAGCACCUGGCAGACAGAACUUAGACUAUACUAUUUCAUGUGAAAUCCCUGAAAAGGGAUUUAAUUCACCCAGAAGACAUUUAGACACACUUUAUCUUUGCAGAUUUAUUAAAAGACAAGUAGAAAUGAGAGCACUCACACAGUUAAUACCCCCACACAACUGCCUACAGGAGCUGUUGCCCCUACCCAAGACUGCUGUUGCUUGUUGCAAUUGCUGCUGGAGGAGCCCUGUGUUGGUGUAGCUGCUUGAAAAGGCAGUGGUAAUCAUGAAAGGCACCUUUCUGUAUAAACAUGUCCAAAGUUCAAGGACAAGUGGGGUAUUCAGCACAAGUAAAGCAUUAUUCCCAUUCUAAGCUGCAAGACCAUUAUCAACAUGGAGCAAACAAAUCCCAGUCCUGUCUGCUCCUAUGAUUCCUAACAAGGAGCUCUGCAAUUCAAGUGGUAAGGCAAACAAACCGCAGCAGCAAGAAAGGACCUGGGAUAAGAGGAAAGGUCAGUGCAAAGACCCUUAACCUAGAAAGCCUUCAUGCUUCACCUGGAACAUGAAGAGAGCUACAUAGAGGCCAGCAUGCCCGAAAGCACAGACCAUAUGCUCUGUGUCACAUCUGUUCCUCCAUACUUCUACCAAGAAGAAACAGUUCUUUGUACAUUCAAAAUUUUCCUUAUGCACCUCCUGGCUCAUGGCACAGUAACAAUUUCUCUCACUUUAAGUCAUCCCACAGCUAUCUAAUACUGCAAGUCGGACACUCCACUAAGGAGUCUGACUAGUAGGUAGCAAAGCUGAGACUGAGAUCUUGUUUCAGGCAUAUCCCAAAACUCAGAACCUGCAUGGCUCCAUUUUAUUUGUAGGUUGCACAUGCAGAGGAAAGCACAUCAUACUGGCCAACCAAUUAAGUGUUCAGCAGCUGCAUCAACAGUUCUGUACUUCAUCAAGCAGAAGAUAAGUUUCUGCUGAUUUGAAAAUAGGAAUUCAAUGUUUUUCUCAUGUAAUCCUGACAGAAGAACCAACAUGUUUAUUUCUUCCUAAUCUCAUUAACAGUGUAGAAUGAGUGUGUGUAGAUUAGUAAAAUACUACACCAGGGACUAUAAAAGGUAAGCAAAGAGUCACAAGAUUUUAUUAUAAUCUAAGGCACAAAAGAAGUAUGUUCUUCAGGUUCUUGCCUCCUAAGUUCAACUAUUUCUGACGAUUCCUCAAAGCACAUAUAACAAAUUAUUCCUAGUACUAUUACAACAAAAAGCACAAAGAUGAGAUUUUUUUUCAGACCAUUGUUCAAAGUAAACUUAAAAACAUAUCAGGCUAUAGAGAGGAGAUUUAGUAAAAAACAAGUGUUCACCUCUUAGGCAUACACCUGGAGGAAGACAGGGAAGGAUCCAUUGUUAACUAUGCAGUGGCUUCAUAAAUAUCAAGUAGCAGAAGCUCUUUAUUCUUCCAUAAAGAAGAUGUAAAUGUACUAAAGAAACAGAAAAAGCAUGCAAAUUAGCUCUUUGGUCAUAGAUCCGAUCAUAAAUUUCUUCUUAAAAUGUGUCAUCAUAAGGAAAAAGGACAGUAAAGUUCAGUACUUUCUUCAUAUACAUA